GGAAGUAUUGUAAGGGGAAGAAGAAAGAUGAGAGAUCUCUUCAUCUUUCUUCUUCCCCUUACAAUACUUCC